UUAUUACGAGAAUUUUUAAUUUUAAUGACGACUUUAGCAUCGUCCACAUCGUAACAAUCCAGAGUGAUUAAAGCCAUGAUGUGAAACCACCCCACAGGUUAUGAUCUUUUCUUGUUCAAAAUAUUUAUAAAUCGUAACAAAAAUCACCAUGCUAACAAAAUAUUUUUUUUAUGUUUAUUUAAACGAAGUGAUACUUCGUUUCUCGAUUUUUUUAACAUAUCGUAAAAACUCAAUUAUUUAUAAAAAAAAAAAAUCCUUUGCACCUGCCAGAAAAAUUCAUUCAGCAAAACGAAGACGAUUCAAAAAGCUGCAAAAACCCUUUCUUUUUAUCUUGGCGUACUAAACGCAAUUGGUAAACUUGUUUUUAUUUUUAUAAACUAAAGCUAAGCAGAAAAAUAGCGAAUGGCUAUUUAGUAUUUUUUUUUAAAUCGCAAUCUUCACAACUUAUCAAAAAUGCACUAGCAUGUUUUGUGAAACACAAAUAAACGCGAAUUGUUAUUUGUUAAAAAGAUAAUUUUUUAAAAUUCACUAUCUUUACAAUUUAAUAAAAGAAUGUUAGAAUGUUUUCUAAAACGCAAGAAUGUUAGCUAGAAUGUUUUCUGAAACGCAAUUAAAAGCGAAACUUGACAACUUACAAAAAUCUAAAUUAGAAAAAAAUUCAACAAGCAAUAAUUUUAAAUUACAUUUGAAAAUUGUUUAAUCUUCAAUAGCUUUGAAAACUUUUAAGUAACGUGGCUUAAACCGCAAUGAAAUACCAAUUUAUCGGUAAUAGAAGACUUUCUUUUUUAUAAUGAAAUAUUAAAAAGAUUUUCAGAUUACUUAUCACCUAUCAGCCCGGAACCGGUAAAUUUUGUAACGGAUCUUUUAAGAAAAAUAAGGCUGUUUAGAAUACCAAAUAAAUAUUGUUCUUGAUUUUUCUAAUAAAAUCCUUGUAUAAUAUUGCAACUAGAAUCAAUAAUCCAGUUACUAUAUGGAACAUAUCCUUAAGAUCCUCUGGGAAACACAAGACAAAGUUAUAUUAAAGUAAGCGUUAGUAAUUAUCGAAAAAGUUGGAAAGGUGCUAAAAGCAAAUAACUAAUUUGAAAAAAUGGAAGUAAUUGAUCACCUAUACAUGUUUAUUCCCGACAGUAAACGAGGAACAGUUCGUAACGAGAGUCAAGGUUGGUGCACUAUUUAGAGCAAAUAAAAUAGUAAACUCCUGAAAGAUAGAGAAUUUUAAUUACAGUCUAAUUAUGAGAGGUUAUAACUAGAGAGGUUAUAAAUGAUUUUAAAUAGAUGUAUUGUUUAAAGUAGCCAAUAAAAAGGAAGUAAUAGUCGUUAUUGAA